UGCACGGCGGCACGGAUUCAUUCGUUCGUACACUCAAGACUGGUUGCUUCUUUGUUUCUAAAACUAGUUUCUUGCGCUUCUAUGUAACUUGGGGUGAAGUUACGUGUUUGCAAGCGGACAUGUAAGCCCGGCAGUUGGGUUUCGGUCGUGAGCCAUUCGGAACAGGUCUGCAUCGAAACGGGAGCUGGAUUUUGCUGCGGCUGACAACGGCAAUAACGACAUGCAGUAAUGAGGACGGCACCAGUAUAAAGCAACACACUCCACGCACUAAACAGAAGCUGCUGCCUGCUACGACAAGGUCAUUGUGUGGACAUUGGCUACUACUACAAGAGUCUAUGCCAAGCACAUCUUGGUCAUCACAGGAGCUCCUAUCUGCACCAACAGGAAGGGGCUGGAGCCGAAUUUGCAAGGCUUUUACACCAAGAACAAAGAAGCACAUGCACAAGAAUAUGGAUGAGAUAUCAAGUCUGCAAAGGACUGUGUUAAGACUGCAAAGAGCUUCAGCCACCAUUCCACCAGCACGGACAUUUGGCUGAGUCAUCCA